UUUAUAUUGCUAUUGCGAUCCCAACUAAGUCAACGUUCAAAUGGAAACCUUUUGUGGUUGUUGUUGUAGCGGCAGAUUUUGUAGAUUUGACAAUGUUUGGCCGAAUAAAAGUCCGGGUCCAUUCUAGUUACGUAGACCCGACUGUCGUGGGAACGACGGAAACAUUUUGGCGUUAUUGGCGGCAAAUUCUCUUUUGGCUCCUGUAACUCGAAUCAAGUAUUUCCGCCUUUCUUUUCACUACAUUUUCGCAAAUUAAGGGAACCAAACUCCAAGAUACAAAGACGGAAGAUUCGACUUAAUGAAUAUGACUUUGACGUAAAAUACAUAUCAGUGAAGAAUCUGAUCUAACGUAGACACUGUUCACUCUGCCGAUGAAGAUUCCUAAAGUUUUAUUAAGAUAAUAGAGCGACCAUUAAAUGUAUUCAAAAAUCAAAUUAAAUUAAUAAGAGACGGUAAAGACUCAACUACAAUAACGAAAGUUUUUUUAAUAACCUAAUUGUAAUUACAUACAAAGAAUUAACUACAGAUUAUACUAAAGACAUAGAUAGAGCAUAAUACAACAAUUUUUAUGCCAAAUGAAACUGAUUUUAUACAAUUUCAAAACGUUUAUAAGACACUAAUAACAACAAGUCGCAACAUGAUUUAUCGGUGUACAAAAGAACUAUAAAACAUUACAAAUUUUGCAAAUUUUAAAAGUAAAGUACUUGAAAUCCAUUUAAGUGGACUUCAUAAAGGUAUAGAGAAGGUUGCAAAAUGUUUUAAAUUACAGUAUUAUUACCCCAAUUAUCUUUCGGAAAUCACCAAUAUAAUAAAUGAAUGUGAACUGUGUAAUCAUUGUAAGAACUAUCAUAUUUCUAAUAAAAUGCCGUUCAAAAUUACACCGCCAAUUUAAAAAAUAAGAUAAAAAUAUGUUGUAGAUUUUUGGAAAUAGAAUAAUGAAUAUUAUUUAACAUAUAUCGAUUUAUACUCUAAGUUUGCUAUGAUAUAAAAAGUUAAAGCAUUGCUAAAAAAUUUUAAUUGCAUGGGUCCUCCAAAAACUUUAAAAAUCGACCAAGACCAAGGUUUAAAUAAUAUAAACAUUAAACAAUGGUGUAAUUCAUUAAAUAUAAAAGUAGAAGUAACCACCGGUAAAACUGGUAUAGGGACAUUGAAAGUUUAGAUAAAACUUUAAAUGAAAAACUUAGAAUAAUCAACACUUCAGGUGAUAAAGAGCUAAAAUAUUUAGAAAUUGAACAAACACUUUUAACUUAUAACCAUAUAAUUGUUCACUCUACUACCAAUGAAGUUCCAUAUACAACCUUUUUUUAAUAAAGAGUCACCAAAACAAGAUCCUCAAAUUAUUAAAGAACAAAGAAUAAAUAAUGUAAAUAAAAACCGUCAAGAAAAAGAUAUGUAUUGACACAAACUUUGUAAACGCAGAAGUUUCGAGGAAGAGAUUAGAGAAAAUUAGUAAACCAUACAAAAAAGUUAGUCUUUUAAAACUGAAGAAGAUGGCGAACAUCAUAUUGUAAAGUUUAAAAGUCAAAAUGUAAGAAAAUAUAAAAACCAAUUCAAAAGAAAAAAGAAAACCAACUAAAACUAAAUCUAAGAAUUGAAAAUUGUAUCUUAUCAAUCUUAUUAUUCCUUUUUACUUAUUCAUUACUACUCAAUCAUUUUUAAAUGCUAAAAAUAUCUUUAAAUUUUGUAAGAAUUCUAUUUAAAAACUUUAACUUGUAAACAAAGAAGAUUUGCAAUGAGGACGUUGCAUUAUUUUAAGAUGGGAGGAGUGACAUAUCCUAAUGUUGCAUUGGAGACUUUUGCCAGCAAAAGCAUCGAAUGCAACAUUGCAAACGUGCUUCAAUUCAGCAUUUUCGCCAUUGAAAGCAGCAGUGCGGGCACAUUAAGCGGCACCGUUUGAAAAUCGCGUUUGUCAUGACUCACUCUGAUUUCGUCAUCCUACUCGUAAAGUUCUAAUUGAUCGUGUUACAAGAUGUUGUUUAAUAAAAAUUGUCAUUUGUUACAAAAAUAUUCAAAUAAAAACUAUUUUUGUUGUAAAAAUAUUACUUA